GAUGAACGCUGACAGAAUGCUUAACACAUGCAAGUCGAUGGGGAAGUGGUGCUUGCACCAUGGCAACCAUGGCGGACGGGUGAGUAACGCGUAAGGGACUUACCUGCAGGACUGGGAUAACAGGGGGAAACUCCUGACAAGACCGGAUAAUGUCAUGGAGCUGCAUGGCUUUAUGAUGAAAGGAGACGCCUGCGGAGAGCCUUGCGUCCUAUUAGCUAGUUGGUGAGGUAAUGGCUCACCAAGGCGAAGAUAGGUAGCCGGCCUGAGAGGGUGGACGGCCACAAGGGGACUGAGAUACGGCCCUUACUCCUACGGGAGGCAGCAGUGGGGAAUAUUGGACAAUCGGGGCAACCCUGAUCCAGCAAUUCUGUGUGCACGAAGAAGGUUUUCGGAUUGUAAAGUGCUUUCAGCAGGGAAGAAGUAAGUGACGGUACCUGCAGAAGAAGCGACGGCUAAAUACGCG
rnacentral:rRNA from 1 species